rnacentral:lncRNA from 1 species
CAAAAAAAACAUACAUUUUUUUAUAUAUACAUGUCUUGUUUUGUCUUGUUUUAUUAUUAUUAUUAUUAUUAUUUUUUAUUUUAUUUUAUUUUUUUUUGGUAAAGUGAAAAAGAAGUUCGAUUUUUAUGGGUUGGUACACCCAUGGUUAAAGAUGAAAACCCCGUAUCGUUAUGUCUACAUGUAAAUUUAAAAAUAAUUUAAUGUUUGUUUCUUUUUUCUUAUAUUGCGCCUAGAUACAUUAAUUUUUUAUUUUUAAUUCUUAUGUUAUGUAUUCUUAUACAUGUGUUUGUGCACACAUAUGUAUAUAUAUGUAUAGGUGCGUGCUUCAUUAUAUAUAUAUAUACGCUUUUUUUUGUUUUAUUCACAUUGCAACAGGGUUUAUCAACACAAGAAAUUUACUCACGUAGUAUUGAAGACUGUAGCGUACAACAGAUAGGAAAUAUAGAAGACAAAGAAAACAAUAAACUAAGUGAAAUGCUUAACUUUUUAAUUUUAAUCGAAGAGUUUAAUCCUUUAGAAUAUAGCAAUGAAAGAUUUGAAUAUUCGUUUAAGUUUGCAAGAAGUUCUUUGAUAAAUUUUACCAGUACCGAUGAACAUUUAAACAAAGGAAACCAGAACACAACACUUUUAAAAAACAACAUGUAUGACAGUACUGAUGAGGAAGACAAUACUACGCAAGAGAAACCUUUAAAAAGAGGAAAGCUAACAAAAACAAUUAAACCAAAAAACGAAAUUACUUUUAAAAAAGAUAGUUUAAAAAAUAAAAAAAAAACAAUUCCAGACCCAAGAUCUGUACUUUUAACCAACAUUAAUAAAGCUUUUCAAAAAAAUAUUAUAUGAAUAGAAUAGAAUAUUACAAAAUGUUUUUAUAACCACAUUUAUCUACACCUACCUAUGCAUGUAUGUAUUUAACGCGAUUGUUAUGCAUAGCUUAUAGUUCUAUUCGAAAACAUAUAACAUAGGUACAAACGAAAUAAAUAUAUAAAAUAAACGCGUUUUCGUGCA